AUACAGUCUGUCACUGACUGAAAUGUUAUUAUGUGCUGCAUGAACGCAUCUGUUAAAUGUAUAAACUAAAGAGUUGAAACAAAUCCCAUGUUUGGCCAAUGUAGAAUCUAAGUAGAAGGAAGACAUAGAACUAAAUUUUUCAUCCUUUUAUAACUACAAAUGGAUUUAAAUAUAAUAUUAAGUCUUCUGUUCACAUAGUACAUGGUUCAAAUGUACAUAGAAAGUACAUAUAAAUAUCUGGAGGAAGAUUAUUCCAGGUGGAGAGAACUGCAAGACCUUGUGGCAAGAAGGGGCUCAGCAUGACUGACAAAUAGCAAGAAGGAUGUCAGCUGUGGCACUGGCUACCUUGACACAUCUUCAUCUGAAGAAAAAAUACAAAGAAGGCCUGCCAUGAUGACAAUUUACUUCAUGAAGAGAACGGGUUCUGAAACGGUCAUUCUUUUCCAUUUAAACAAUGUUACCAUCUCCCAAAGAACAGCUUUGGGGUAGGAAAGAACAGUAUUUCAUUUCAAGCUGGACUACUCAUCUACCAAAAAACCAUUCUGACCAAAGAAACAGAUGCAGAAUUACAGUCACAGCUGCAUUCUGCACAGAACAAGUUGGAUAAUGGUAUUCUAAAUUGCUAAUUAUACUGUUAAUGAUUUUUUAAGUGUCAUUGCAGUACUUUGCCACCUUUGUUUAAAAAUUUUUAAAAAGCAUGUAGCAAGUUUUCUAAAUGGUAAAUUUCUGUUUUGUUAAAUACCAGCGUGUCUUCCAAAGAAAAAUUCCAUAUAAAACCCAUUUAUUGAAAUGGCAUUCAUAUGUGAAUUUGGAGGAGCCUACUUAUUGACUAGCUAUUUGUUUUAAUUUACUUUCUCACCAAUUUACCUGCAUUUAAGAUUACUGAGGUCAUAAGUAUCUCAGUAUUAGUGUUUCUAUCUAGAUCCAUAGUUGGUAUGAAAAGAUAAUAAACUAACAUAUGUCAUGAUAUGCUGGCACUGGGAAUGUGCUACAACUCAAUUUACAAAAAGUAAUGGCAACAGUACAAUUUAAUUUUCAUUGUGAUAACUGUGGUGCAAUUUAUUACGGUGUUAGUAUUAUGCUGUUUAAUCCAUGCCAGCAUAGCUGAGGAAGGUAAUUACAUUUUUGAUAUAAAAAUGCUACUAAUGUUUUCAUUUCAUUUUAGCAGAUUAUAGUAUGCAGAUUAAAAGUACUGCCAUUGUCCCA
ensembl:lncRNA novel transcript, antisense to ITGB3BP